AGCGGACAGAUGGAAGCUUACUCCCUGAUGUUAGCGGCGGACGGGUGAGUAACACGUGGGUAACCUGCCUGUAAGACUGGGAUAACUCCGGGAAACCGGGGCUAAUACCGGAUGGUUGUUUGAACCGCAUGGUUCAAACAUAAAAGGUGGCUUCGGCUACCACUUACAGAUGGACCCGCGGCGCAUUAGCUAGUUGGUGAGGUAACGGCUCACCAAGGCAACGAUGCGUAGCCGACCUGAGAGGGUGAUCGGCCACACUGGGACUGAGACACGGCCCAGACUCCUACGGGAGGCAGCAGUAGGGAAUCUUCCGCAAUGGACGAAAGUCUGACGGAGCAACGCCGCGUGAGUGAUGAAGGUUUUCGGAUCGUAAAGCUCUGUUGUUAGGGAAGAACAAGUACCGUUCGAAUAGGGCGGUACCUUGACGGUACCUAACCAGAAAGCCACGGCUAACUACGUGCCAGCAGCCGCGGUAAUACGUAGGUGGCAAGCG
rnacentral:rRNA from 1 species